AGUGAACGCUGGCGGUAGGCCUAACACAUGCAAGUCGAACGGCAGCACAGUAAGAGCUUGCUCUUACGGGUGGCGAGUGGCGUACGGGUGAGGAAUACAUCGGACUCUACUUUUUCGUGGGGGAUAACGUAGGGAAACUUACGCUAAUACCGCAUACGACCUACGGGUGAAAGCAGGGGAUCUUCGGACCUUGCCCGAUUGAAUGAGCCGAUGUCGGAUUAGCUAGUUGGCGGGGUAAAGGCCCACCAAGGCGACGAUCCGUAGCUGGUCUGAGAGGAUGAUCAGCCACACUGGAACUGAGACACGGUCCAGACUCCUACGGGAGGCAGCAGUGGGGAAUAUUGGACAAUGGGCGCAAGCCUGAUCCAGCCAUACCGCGUGGGUGAAGAAGGCCUUCGGGUUGUAAAGCCCUUUUGUUGGGAAAGAAAAGCAGCAGGUUAAUACCCCGCUGUUCUGACGGUACCCAAAGAAUAAGCACCGGCUAACUUCGUG
rnacentral:rRNA from 1 species